UACGUAGGUGGCAAGCGUUGUCCGGAUUUACUGGGCGUAAAGAGCGCGCAGGCGGUCGUAUAAGUCGAAUGUGAAAGCCCCCGGCUCAACUGGGGAGGGUCAUUCGAUACUGUUCGACUCGAAGGCAGGAGAGGGAAGUGGAAUUCCGGGUGUAGUGGUGAAAUGCGUAGAUAUCCGGAGGAACACCAGUGGCGAAGGCGACUUACUGGACGACUGUUGACGCUGAGGUGCGAAAGCGUGGGGAGCAAACAGG
rnacentral:rRNA from 1 species